GACGAACGCUGGCGGCGUGCUUAAUACAUGCAAGUCGAACGGAGCCUAGCCGGUAGUUUACUACAGGCGAAAGCUUAGUGGCGGACGGGUGAGUAACGCGUGGGCAAUCUGCCCCUAAGUCCGGGAUAACAGAGCGAAAGUUCUGCUAAGACCGGAUACUCUUCCUUGGUCGCAUGGCGGAGGAAGGAAAGGAGACGCUUAGGGAUGAGCCCGCGUCCCAUUAGCUAGUUGGUGAGGUAACGGCCCGACCAAGGCGACGAUGGGUAGCCGGCCUGAGAGGGUGGACGGCCACACUGGGACUGAGACACGGCCCAGACUCCUACGGGAGGCAGCAGUAGGGAAUUUUCCGCAAUGGGGGAAACCCUGACGGAGCAACGUCGCGUGAGGGAAGAAGGUCUUCGGAUCGUAAACCUUUGUCAUCGAGGACGAAAACUGACGGUACUCGAGGAGGAAGCCCCGGCUAACUACGUG
rnacentral:rRNA from 1 species